GUAGAUAUAGCUCCAUGGUAAAGCGUGUGCUUAGCAUGCAUAAGGUCCUGGGUUCAAUCCCCAGCACCUCCA
rnacentral:tRNA from 1 species